UACGUAGGGUGCAAGCGUUAAUCGGAAUUACUGGGCGUAAAGCGUGCGCAGGCGGUUGUGCAAGACAGAUGUGAAAUCCCCGGGCUCAACCUGGGAACUGCAUUUGUGACUGCACGGCUAGAGUGUGUCAGAGGGGGGUAGAAUUCCACGUGUAGCAGUGAAAUGCGUAGAGAUGUGGAGGAAUACCGAUGGCGAAGGCAGCCCCCUGGGCUAAGAUUGACGCUCAUGCACGAAAGCGUGGGGAGCAAACAGG
rnacentral:rRNA from 1 species